AAGUGAACGGGACACAGUCCGUCGGCGGCCAGCAAGAACGAGAGGAAGUUGGAAGUUGAAGUGCCGUUCCAAGUAGCAUGUGAUUCCAGGCAGCAGUUUGCUCCUAUGUUUGGGCUUUAGCUGGGCCACUAAGGACAGUAUCUUCAUCUCAGCAGCUCUUUGCAGCUCUUUGUGUGCAGCAGCCAUGUCUCCUGGAAGCACCUCCCUCUGCCUUUGCUGUAACCAGUAAGCUGAACAUUACAUCAGGUCAGUCACAGUCAGCCACUUCUUAGCAGUGUUAGCAAGCUUUGACGCUCUCUCCUCCAUAACAUAGGAAUCCCACAGAUUGUAGAUCUCGCUGUUAUGAUUGUUUAAAAAAAUAAAACGUUAACUCUUUUUAUGCACAUUG